rnacentral:rRNA from 1 species
UCCAGACUCCUACGGGAGGCAGCAGUGGGGAAUAUUGCACAAUGGGGGAAACCCUGAUGCAGCAACGCCGCGUGAGUGAAGAAGUCAUUCGUGAUGUAAAGCUCUAUCAGCAGGGAAGAAAAUGACGGUACCUGAGUAAGAAGCCCCGGCUAACUACGUGCCAGCAGCCGCGGUAAUACGUAGGGGGCAAGCGUUAUCCGGAAUUACUGGGUGUAAAGGGAGCGUAGACGGCAAUGCAAGUCCGGAGUGGAAUGCGGCAGCUCAACUGCCGAACUGCUCUGGAAACUGUAUGGCUUGAGUGCAGGAGGGGUAAGCGGAAUUCCUGGUGUAGCGGUGAAAUGCGUAGAUAUCAGGAGGAACACCGGUGGCGAAGGCGGCCUGCUGGACUGCGACUGACGUUGAGGCUCGAAAGCGUGGGGAGCGAACAGGAUUAGAUACCCGGGUAC